rnacentral:rRNA from 1 species
UACGAAGGGGGCUAGCGUUGCUCGGGAAUCACUGGGCGUAAAGCGCACUAGGCGGCUUUUUAAGUCAGGGGUGAAAUCCUGGAGCUCAACUCCAGAACUGCCUUUGAUACUGAGAAGCUUGAGUCCGGGAGAGGUGAGUGGAACUGCGAGUGUAGAGGUGAAAUUCGUAGAUAUCGCAAGAACACCAGUGGCGAAGGCGGCAUCCUGGACCGGCAUUGACGCUGAGGGCGCGAAAAGCCAGGGGG